rnacentral:lncRNA from 1 species
AUGCAAAUAGUUGGUCUUUGUUUGUCGUUUUAUUUUUUUGGGGCGUUGGGGGGUGUGAGAAAAGGCACCGUCAGCGGCGAGGUGAGUGGGUCCCCGCACCGUCCGCACACGCGCGGGGGAGUCGUGCGGGAGCGCCGGCGCGGGGCAGCGCUGCCCCCCGAGGGGCGCGGGGCCGGGGCGGCGGACGCGGGGGCUGCGCCUUCCCGGGAGCAGCGGCCGCUCCAGAUGGGGAGAGAGGGGAUGAGGACACCCCUCCUUCCGUCAGUCAUCGCCUCCCUAACCCCCCGACCGCUCCCCCCCCGUCACGGCUGCCUCACCGCUCCCGGCGGCUCCCCGCUUAGAAAUGGAGACCGGCAACUCUCACCAGAGCUCACCCGCAUCCCAAGGACUUGCCACAAACCGAUUUCAAGUCUUCUCCUUCAGACCCAGGGGCUGGAGAAGCUGUCCCUCCAAGGCUCCCUGACACCUACUGGGGGGACAUGUACCUCUCUAAACGGGCCCUGA